rnacentral:lncRNA from 1 species
AAGAAACAAAAACCCAUAAAUGAUAAAUCUGAUCACAUAUCAAAAAAUUCAAUUAGUUUGUCAAAAACCAAAUCAAACAACAAGUACCAUCAACACUGCUAUAUAUAUAUAAUGCCAUCAAAAAAUUAAAACAAAGAAAAUCACAAACUAAAAUCCCAAAUCAGAUCAAGAAAAAAAAUUAAAUAGCAAAAAUUAAUAAAAGUAUCUAAAAAUACAAGUAUUUCACAUUCCAGCUUGCAGUUUUUUGGGCUCGUGUCAAAUUCAGUGUUUAACUAUUUCACAUUCAUCUACAACUAAAGAAAAGUAUCUAAAAAUACAAGUAUUUCACAUUCCAGCUUGCAGUUUUUUGGGCUCGUGUCAAAUUCAGUGUUUAACUAUUUCACAUUCAUCUACAACUAAAGAAAAGUAUCUAAAAAUACAAGUACCUAAGAUUCUUUUAAACCAUGUGCAGUGUGCUUUAACUACAAGGACAGCAUUAACCUAAGUGUUGCGGUCUGCAGACCUCUUCUCCUCCAGCAAUCUGCACAGGCGCACAGCUCAAGGUCUCAAGGAGCUUCAGAAAUCAGAGCAGCUAGAGGCAGUCAGCAGACAGCAGAGGCGGAUUGGCGGAAGGGGAAAAAAAAGGGGUACAGCUUCAAACUUCAGAGCAGAUAGGCAAUUUGGGCGAUUUUGAAGAGGGGUUAGGUUGUUUUUUUUUAAUCUUAUAUGAAACGACGUCGUUUCAUGUAAGAUAAAAAAACAAAAAAAAACUAGCUGCUGCUGUGUUGCAGAAGAAGGAAGAAGAAGGCAGGCGGCUGCUGGGCUGCAGAAGAACUGAAGAAGAAAGGAAGAAGAAAGCUGUGCUACAAAAAAACUCACCUGGGCUACAGCCCACCCUAGCCCAUACGUGGCUCCGCCCUUGCACCUUGGUGAAUAGGAAUUUGAUCAAAAUCUGAGAUGCUACAAUAAAGCAAAGAAAAAGACUAGGAUUGCUUCCUCUAUAAAAGACUAGGAGUAAUAGAACGAAUUCAUCCGCUAGUACUUCUAGCAGACCGUGAAUAAUUAAUUUUAUGGUGCUUUGAGUGGAGGCAAAUUUGUCCAAAAUUUGCAAUAAUUACGUCCGUUAUAAGUACUAGCGGACAGUGUAAAGUCCUUUGCAAUCCUAGCCCUUCAUUUUUGUAAUGGAAGAUAUAGAUGGUGUAUGC